UCCUAAUCUUUUAUGCCAUAAACAAGAAGAAUCAACAAUAUACGAAGAAGUAGAAGCUUCAUUAAUCUUGUUCAAUUUAGGUACAAUAGUAAGGGCGUUCAUCUUGAACAUCCCAUCGAUCAUGUAACCUUUUCCAACGUACAUCCCAUUUUUAGUUAGUACAAAUUUGUCAAAUACAAAUACUAACUUAAACCCAUUCUUGCUAAGAAGAGAACCAGAAAUAAGAUUUUUCCGGAUGUCCGGCACAUGCAGCACAUUGUUGAGGACGAGUUCCUUGCCAGAUGUCAUCUUCAAGGUCACAUUUCCUUGUCCUUCAACCUUUGAACUUGAGGGAUUUCCCAUGAAUAGUUGUUCUCCAUUGAUAGUUUUGUAAUCAGAAAACACAUUCUUUUCAGCACAAAUAUGGUGAGUGGCACCAGUGUCCACCCACCAUUCCCUGGGAUUUUCAACACUAUUACAUUCAUAUAUUACAGUAGAUAGGUGCAUUUCUUGAACACUUUCAGACAGAUUUUCAGUUUCAACAACAUGUGCACGGUCAUUUUGCUUUUUAGGCUUGCGACAGUCAAUUGUACGAUAUCCAGGUUUGUCACAGUUGAAACAGUCCCCUUUGAACUUCUUGUUCUUCUGGUUGUUUUCUUUUUUCUUCGGAGCAAGUUUGAGUGCUUCCUUUUCAUGUUCUUCUUUGAACUUGAUUCAAUCAUGUUUGCCUUAGCUUCCAUGCUUGGUCCCCCGUUCCCCCUUUCAGAUUUCUUAGUAUUUUGUUCGAUCCUCAAACGCACAAUCAACUCCUCCAUGUUCAUUUCCUUACGUUUGUGUUUGAGGUAAUUUUUGAAAUCUCUCCAUGAGGGCGGGAGUUUUUCAAUUACCGCUGCUACUUGGAAUGACUCACUUACAGUCAUUUUUUCAGCAUGUAAAUCAUGGAGGAGUACCUGCAAAUCUUGAACUUGGGAAAUAACAGAUUUAGAGUCAAUCAUUUUGUAUUCCAAAAAUUUUCCGACAAGAAAUUUUUUAGAUCCAGCAUCUUCAGUUUUAUAUUUUUUCUCUAAAGAUUCUCAUAGUUCUUUUGCAGUUUUCAUUAUGCUGUAUACACCAUAUACCGAAUCAUUCAGUCCAUUCAGUACAUAAUUUUUGCAUAAAAAAUCGGAAUGUUUCCAUGCGUUCAAGGCAAUAAUCGAAACUCGAUUAUUUUCUCCUUAUUGAACAGUAGGAGGAUCCUCCGUGAGAAACUUUGCCGGGUUCAAAGUGGUGAAAUAGAACAGCAUUUUCUACUGCCAUCUCUUAAAAUCGACCCCAUUAAAUUUUUCAAGUUUCUCUCCGUGAGGAACAUGAGUUGAACCAGAAGGACCAGACAUUGUCGGCGUUACAGUAGCCACAGUUGGCGUCACAGCCACAGCCGGAGGAAUUGCAUUGAUCCCAACAGUGUUAGCCAUUUCUGUUUUCAAAACAGAAGAUCAACUAGUCAGAAUUUACAAAUUAAAAUUCUGCAGAAUAGUAAUUUAGC
rnacentral:lncRNA from 1 species